UACAGAGGUGGCAAGCGUUGUUCGGAAUUACUGGGCGUAAAGGGCGCGUAGGCGGUCUUGCAAGUCCUGUGUGAAAUCCCUCGGCUCAACUGAGGAACUGCACAGGAAACUGCUUGGCUUGAGUUCGGGAGAGGGAAGCGGAAUUCCGGGUGUAGCGGUGAAAUGCGUAGAUAUCCGGAGGAACACCAGUGGCGAAGGCGGCUUCCUGGACCGACACUGACGCUGAGGCGCGAAAGCUAGGGGAGCAAACGGG
rnacentral:rRNA from 1 species